CCAUUUGGCAGGGGGAGCGGCGGGUGAGUAACGCGUGGGUAACCUGCCCUGUACACACGGAUAACAUACCGAAAGGUAUACUAAUACGGGAUAACAUACGAAAGUCGCAUGGCUUUUGUAUCAAAGCUCCGGCGGUACAGGAUGGACCCGCGUCUGAUUAGCUAGUUGGUAAGGUAAUGGCUUACCAAGGCAACGAUCAGUAGCCGACCUGAGAGGGUGAUCGGCCACACUGGAACUGAGACACGGUCCAGACUCCUACGGGAGGCAGCAGUGGGGAAUAUUGCACAAUGGGCGAAAGCCUGAUGCAGCAACGCCGCGUGAGCGAUGAAGGCCUUCGGGUCGUAAAGCUCUGUCCUCAAGGAAGAUAAUGACGGUACUUGAGGAGGAAGCCCCGGCUAACUACGUGCCAGCAGCCGCGGUAAUACGUAGGGGGCUAGCGUUAUCCGGAAUUACUGGGCGUAAAGGGUGCGUAGGUGGUUUUUUAAGUCAGAAGUGAAAGGCUACGGCUCAACCGUAGUAAGCUUUUGAAACUAGAGAACUUGAGUGCAGGAGAGGAGAGUAGAAUUCCUAGUGUAGCGGUGAAAUGCGUAGAUAUUAGGAGGAAUACCAGUAGCGAAGGCGGCUCUCUGGACUGUAACUGACACUGAGGCACGAAAGCGUGGGGAGCAAACAGGAUUAGAUACCCUGGUAGUCCACGCCGUAAACGAUGAGUACUAGGUGUCGGGGGGUUACCCCCCCUCGGUGCCGCAACUAACGCAUUAAGUACUCCGCCCUGGGGAAGUAGCCUCGCCAAGAGUGAAACUCAAAGG
rnacentral:rRNA from 1 species